rnacentral:rRNA from 1 species
UUCCGGUUGAUCCUGCCGGACCUGACUGCUAUCGGAUUGAUACUAAGCCAUGCGAGUCUUUGUAGUAAUACAAGGCAGACGGCUCAGUAACACGUAGUCAACCUACCCUAUGGACAAGAAUAAUCUCGGGAAACUGGGCAUAAUUCUUGAUAGAUCAUAAUGCCUGGAAUGGUUUAUGGUUAAAAUGAUUCGUCGCCAUAGGAUGGGACUGCGGCCUAUCAGCUUGUUGGUGAGGUAAUGGCCCACCAAGGCGAUUACAGGUACGGGCUCUGAGAGGAGAAGCCCGGAGAUGGGUACUGAGACACGGACCCAGGCCCUAUGGGGCGCAGCAGGCGAGAAAACUUUGCAAUGUGCGAAAGCACGACAAGGUUAAUCCGAGUGAUUUCUGCUAAAGAAAUCUUUUGCCAGUCAUAAAACCACUGGUGAAUAAGGGGUGGGCAAGUUCUGGUGUCAGCCGCCGCGGUAAAACCAGCACCUCAAGUGGUCAGGAUGAUUAUUGGGCCUAAAGCAUCCGUAGCCGGCUUUGUAAGUUUUCGGUUAAAUCCAUGUGCUCAACGCAUGGGCUGCCGAAAAUACUGCAUAGCUAGGGAGUGGGAGAGGUAGACGGUACUCAGUAGGUAGGGGUAAAAUCCUUUGAUCUAUUGAUGACCACCUGUGGCGAAGGCGGUCUACCAGAACACGUUCGACGGUGAGGGAUGAAAGCUGGGGGAGCAAACCGGAUUAGAUACCCGGGUAGUCCCAGCUGUAAACGAUGCAGACUAGAUGAUGCAUUGGCAUAAUAGCCAUUGCAGUGUCUCAGGGAAGCCGUUAAGUCUGCCGCCUGGGAAGUACGUACGCAAGUAUGAAACUUAAAGGAAUUGGCGGGGGAGCACCACAAGGGGUGAAGCCUGCGGUUCAAUUGGAGUCAACGCCGG